rnacentral:lncRNA from 1 species
CUUAAACCUUUACUGCAUUUUCUUCCCUUCAUCCUUGUUUCUCAUGUAAGGAACUAAAUAAAUCAAUGGAUUGAGAAUAUAUAUAUACACACACACACACUCAGAGCCUUCAAUGAGGGAUCCAUAUUUUUUGUCACUUUUGGGGAUAGGUUCAUACCAUUAGAUAUAUUUUUUAAUGGGCUUAAAUGGCUGAGAUUAAAACAAAAAACUUAACACUUUUGUUAAACCUACACCGUUCAAGAUCAUUAAAAAUAAAUCAAACAUUUGGAUGACCUAACGAUCACCAAAUUUUCUAAAAAUUUACAAAAGUGAUCUACUCAUAUACACUAACAAACUGAACGGUGGAGAUGUGAUUUAGUGAUCGGGAAGUUUGUCAAAUACCCUAUCCCUAGAAAUAAACAAAAAAAGGGAUCCCUCAUUGAAAGGGCCCUGCAUAUAUAAAUAUAUAUAUACAGUCCUGUUCGAGAGCGGACGUCCGCACUUGGCUUAAAGUGCAAAAGUCCCUCCGUUCUCCUUCGUUCGGCGCCAAUGACGGCGCGCCUCUACCCCAGUGGACUCCAGCAGCGUUCCCGACCACUUUCUCUCUCCGGAGAGUCCGUUCUUUUCCAGUUUUCCGGCGAGAUCACCCAAAACUUCAAAUAAAGUCGAUCUCGCCUAAAAACUGAAAUUCGGCGAACUCGCCGGGGAAGAAAAGUGGUCGGAGACGCUGUCUGAAAUCCGCUGGGGUGGAGGCGUGCCGUCGUCGACAUCGGACAGAGGCAAACGGAGGGACGUCCACAUUUUAAACCGAGUGCGGACGUUCGCUUUGGAACCUUUCUGUGUGUGUAUAUAUAUAUAUAUAUAUAUAUUCUAAGUUUUAUUACUCAACGACUUAAUGAUUGAUCUUUCAGCUAUUUGGAGUCUUAUGGUAUCGUCUUGCUGUACAACGUUGUACAACGACAGAUAGAUUGUUGAAAACUCCUUUGUCAAGAAGUAAAAGGAUAUUCAUGUAGUUCAUCUAUCGAUGAUUUCAUAUGUUUUUACAACUAUGAAGAAAAAAACUACGAAGUGAGGACGAGCAAGGGCAAUAACAAUGGAAGAUGGAUCAACGUCACGCGUGUGCAAGAACUAUGCCCUACAAAAGCUGCAGAUCCAAAAAGUUUUGACUUUGGUAUAUUUUCUUAUGCUGUUCAAUCCGAUGUGACAGGUUCAUCCCAUCUUUCUCAAAGGAUGUCGCUAUCUUUCUGGUGGGCCUUAAGGAAUAUAAGGUUCGUUCAUCUAGUUAUAAGUUUGUGUUUGAUGAUAUAUAAUCUAUAUAUUGAGAGCGUUAUUAUCACAAUUAUUUUGUAAUGAUCUCUGCAAUGCAAUCCAAUUAUAAACGAACCGUUUGUUUCUUUUCUUUCAGUUCGUUUGGUUCAAACCUCUGCACGAGCAUGGAUGCGAUAGAAAUCUUAUUCUCAGUUGUAAUAUCUAUAUGUGGCAUGGCGCUUUUCUUAAUAUAUCUCAAUGCAAGAGUGCAAGUUGGUGCUGGAGUCAGACUUCAUAUAAAAUCAAAUAACUAGAGGCAACACAUCAUUAGCACUUAAUGAUCAUCACUAGAUGAAAACUAACAAGCACCUAUUGAUUUAAAUCGCAACUUCUUAGUGAGAAGCAAAUUGAUCAUGAGCGUUUGCCAAAAAGAAAAAAAAAAUCACGAGCAUGCAUGCAUAUAUCAGCAAGAUAUAUUUCUUUCAAGAAAUACUAAUAUCUUUUAGAGUAAGUAAUACUAUUAUGAACUCAUCUAUUGUUUUUGUUUGAUAUAUUUGGGAUGAUCAUGUAGGAGUCACAAGCAAGGCCAAAUCAACAUGAAUUGAAAGAAAGAAGAAAUUGAUGAAACCGGAUAUUGAUUUGUGGUUAUCUAAAAAUGAUCUCUCCAACUUGAAGAGUGACCAAGGACUCUAUGGAUCUGAAGUCAACGAUAAAGAAAAGACUCUGAAGAUGGUGAUCACUGAAAACAUAGACAAACUUGAUGAAAACAAAGACAUUGAUUUUGAAGGUAAAAGGUUGUUGGCAAUCCUUAUAUAGAACAAAACACAACCUAUGAAGCCUAAAGCAAUGAAGCCUAAAACAAUUGGAAGAUUGGUCUUCCACAUCUGAAGAACAAGUUGAAGAAGUAGAAGAACCAACAUGAUCUCAUGGAACUCAGGUAAAAUCAUGCAUAUGCAUUUCAUGGUUUUUCACAGAGGAUAGCAGUAUCACUUGCCAUCCUAAAAAUCUGGGUUUCCAGUUUUUUGAUCUUUUGUUCUGUUGUCUUAUGUUUAAGUUUCUUUAUCCUUGUUCCAUAAGAACUAUGUCUGGGGGAGAUUCUAAUUUGAAUUUCAAAUUGACAACUAGAAUAUAUAAAGAUCUUGCCUUUGUGGUCAAUUUAGUUUUGGGUUUGAUGCCUUUGUUCCAACCCGUGACUCAUGGUUUAAGAGUUCUAAGGCUACAGUUGUGUUUGUGAUACACAAACCAAUAUAACAGUUGUCUUUGUAUGUCCUCUCCCUUUCAGAGUUUGGCCAAGGACAAAAGUCCAAAACUCCUUCCUUGCUUUGGCCCUCGUGCUUGCCCUCUUGUGGCACCUCUUUGGCUUGUGUCUCUCUCUUGUUAGAGCACUCCAUCAGCCUAUAUAUACUGAGCAAGGCUGCCUUUGCUCAGUGGUUGUCAAAAUGUAGUUUCUACAUUUGCUUUGUUAGGUUUCUCCCUUUGUUGGGUUUUUGGUUUUACUUUGCAUUGUUCAUUAGUUUCUAAGUCUUCCUUUUGUGAUUAUAAACCUUAGAGCUGAACAAAACAUCUUCUCAUAAACUCAUUGCAUUCUGCAUACCAUGAGAUCAGUUGGUAGUGCAACAACCCAGGAAGUGUUCAUGAAAGAAGCAGCUGAGGAUAGCUGAGUUCUGAUGUAUCCCGCUGAGGUAGCUGGGUUCAUGAAAGAAUCAGUUCAGGAUAGCUGAGUUUCUGAGAGUGAAACUUCUUAGAAGUCUUCAAGAAGAAUCAGUUAAGUGAUAGCUGAGUUCUUAGUUGAAACUUCUUAUACCUUCAUGUGUAGCCACUUAGAGACAAGAGAGGUAGAUCUAGACUAGUUUGGGACUAGGUAGGAUAGCAAGUCGUUGCUGUAUCCUAUACUGUAAUCUUGUAAGGAGUGAGGUACUCAGAAACAAGAGAGAAAGUAUAGAUCUAGACUAGUGGGUAGUUUAGGCAGGAUAGCAAGCGGUUCAUGUAUCCCUAGACUAUAAUCUUGUAAGAAGUGGGUUUUACAUAGUGGAAAUGUUUGUCCCUCAAGAGUUAGGGGCACACAGUUUUUCUCCCUGGUUUCAGGGUUUCUGCGAGUAAAAAACAUCUUGGUGUUCAUUGUUAUUUUACUGCAACUUUUAUUCAUUGUCAUUGUGUAUUUGUUAUUCAGGAUAGCUAUAACCCUUGCUAUCCCUGAGAACGAAUUUAUACGAAAAAAGUUGUUAAGGGCCUAUUCACCCCCCCUUCUAGGACCUUUAGAUUUGCAGAAUAUCAUCUAUGUUCUUCCCAUAAAAUUCAAAAAGAACAUAACCCGUCUCCUCUGCUUGGCUUCACUAACGAAAGUGAGUAUUUUUGUUUUCUCGCUUAAAUGAUGCUUUAUAUGUAUGAACAUGUAACUAACUGAUUAUUACCGUAGAUGCCAAUGCUCGCAAAUUUGAAUGCCAAAAUUUUGAAAGUGAUUUGUGAGCAUUUGAAGCCAGUCGUUUACACUGAAGACAACUACAUUGUUCAAGAAGGCAAACCACUUGGUAUGAUGAUCUUCAUCACGCAAGGACUCGCAUGGAGCUACACAACCAAAAACAUCAAUGAUGGACUAACAAACUUUGAUUUCUCAAGCAAUGAGUGGUUAAAGUGGUUACACUGAAGGCAACUACAUUGUUCAAGAAGGCAAACCACUUGGUAUGAUGAUCUUCAUCACGCAAGGACUUGCAUGGACCUACACAACCAAAACAUCAAUGAUGGACGAACAAGCUUUGAUUUCUCAAGCAAUGAGUGGUUAAAGUAAGGUGAUUUUUACGGAGAAGAGCUGUUGAAUUGGGCAUUCAUAUCUCCCUCCUUUUCCGCCUUACCCUUUUCCUCUAGAACUGUUAUGUCUCAAGAAAAAGUCGAAGCAUUUUCUCUAAGGGCUAGGGACUUGAAGAGUAUUGUUUGCAAAUUCUGGUGGCAUUUUUACCAGAGAGCUCGAACAAGUAGAUUUAGAACGGUGGGAGAAUUCAGGAGCUUUUUCAAUACAAGCAGCCUGGCGCAACCGUUUGGCAAAGGGUAGGCGUUCAAAUCACUGGGACAAAUUUACUGCACAUUAUUAGUGUAUAUCAUGUAAGCAUUCUAGUAACUAUUGAAACAAAGGUUUUCACUUAAGUUAUUUUUAUUUUUAGUUGUUAGAAGGUUUAUUAUUAUUAUUAUUAUUAUUAUUAUUAUUAUUGAGUUGUUGUCUAGUGAGUAGUGACUCAUUUUCAUAUGUUUAGUUCGGAUUUCCAUGCAGUCAUUUCAGUCUUUCAGAUAUAGAGAUCCAAUAAUAAGGUUAAUAGCUUGUGCAUGUAUGCCAUUCCAAUCUAGAAUUAUCAACAUUUGAGUUGGAUUUCAAUGACUAGUUCUUUCAAAUCAUUUCAAAUAUAUUCUGUCAAAGAUAUGUUUUGUUUGUUUAAAAAAAGAAAAUAAAAAAUAAAAAAAAAAAAAAACCUUAGCCUUGUUGUGGACCAAAAUCUACAUGUUUGAGAUAAUUUCAUCCAGCCCAAAAUGUCCAGAUUUGAGAUCAUUUCCUCCAGCUGAAAAUGAUUUAUGUGGCUUAUCAAUAGUAUAUAUUCUGAAUAAUGCUGUUCUUCAGGUUUGGUAGAGCCCUCAUUAUAUCGUUCAGGAGAUGGAAAAACAUCAACUAGAACAACUUGAUGCAUUUUCCAGCUGAAAUGAAAUAAAAUUUUGAUACACCUAUGACAGUAUAGUUAGAACAAAAGACAUAAUUUAAUGCCAAUGAAAUUGUUAAAGCUAUAACCAGAUCCAUGACUUAUUACAGAAGAGUAUCACUAGAAGCUCACACAGACGGUUCAAAUUCACAAAAACAGUAGACCUUAGCAGUAGGAUUGGUCUCGACUCAGUCAGUUGGAGAUACAUGUGGUAAGCCAACAUUGAUCAUUAUUUUACCAGAGAGGGUUUGUGUCUUGUCAAUAGUACAUAGUCUGAAUAAAGCUGUUCCUCAGGGCUGGUGGCUGUUAAGAUAUAAAUCCUACAUCGGGAAUAUGAGACUUUGUCUGUGAGUUUAUAAGGGUUUGAGCCUCUUUAUCUAUUGCCAAUUGGUUUUGGAUGUGAACCCCAAAUUAUUUUAUCAUGGUAUCAGAGCGGGUUACCCACAUGGGCAGAUCUACGUUAGAGGCUAUAUAGGCUAUAGCCUAUACAGAUCGAAAUUGUCUCAGUACUUUAAAAUGUAUUUGUCCUACAUAUCAUGAAGUUUGAUUUGGUUGAAUUGGUUCAGUGUUUUGUUUAGAAACAACAUAAGCUGGGUUCGAGUCUUGCAUCUCCUCUUGCUUCUUCCUUUUUUCUUCUUCAUCCUUUCCCUUUUAUUUUCUUUCACCAUUUUUUUCUAUCUCUUUAUGAUUCAAGUAUCAUUUUAAUCUUCCUUUUUUCUGCUUCCUCCUUUCGUUUUUAUUUUUUUCCCCCAUUAUUUUCUAUCUCUUUAUGAUUAAUUCAUGGUAAUAUGAUAUCAUUUCGAUCAAAAAACACAAUCUUUGUAACAAUAUUGACUCAAAAAANNNNNNNNNNNNNNNNNNNNNNNNNNNNNNNNNNNNNNNNNNNNNNNNNNNNNNNNNNNNNNNNNNNNNNNNNNNNNNNNNNNNNNNNNNNNNNNNNNNNNNNNNNNNNNNNNNNNNNNNNNNNNNNNNNNNNNNNNNNNNNNNNNNNNNNNNNNNNNNNNNNNNNNNNNNNNNNNNNNNNNNNNNNNNNNNNNNNNNNNNNNNNNNNNNNNNNNNNNNNNNNNNNNNNNNNNNNNNNNNNNNNNNNNNNNNNNNNNNNNNNNNNNNNNNNNNNNNNNNNNNNNNNNNNNNNNNNNNNNNNNNNNNNNNNNNNNNNNNNNNNNNNNNNNNNNNNNNNNNNNNNNNNNNNNNNNNNNNNNNNNNNNNNNNNNNNNNNNNNNNNNNNNNNNNNNNNNNNNNNNNNNNNNNNNNNNNNNNNNNNNNNNNNNNNNNNNNNNNNNNNNNNNNNNNNNNNNNNNNNNNNNNNNNNNNNNNNNNNNNNNNNNNNNNNNNNNNNNNNNNNNNNNNNNNNNNNNNNNNNNNNNNNNNNNNNNNNNNNNNNNNNNNNNNNNNNNNNNNNNNNNNNNNNNNNNNNNNNNNNNNNNNNNNNNNNNNNNNNNNNNNNNNNNNNNNNNNNNNNNNNNNNNNNNNNNNNNNNNNNNNNNNNNNNNNNNNNNNNNNNNNNNNNNNNNNNNNNNNNNNNNNNNNNNNNNNNNNNNNNNNNNNNNNNNNNNNNNNNNNNAGUGCUUCUCAGCUGCGGACGUCCGCAUUUAUUCUUACGGUGCGGAUUUCCACUUUACACUCACUUUUCAAUCGAAUUUUCAUAUCUCCACCAUCUAGUAUUUAGAUACUGAUGUAUAGAUCAUCUCUGCAAAAUUUCAGCUAAUUUGGUUAUCAUUAAGGCACUCAAAACUAUAUUUUUCUGUUAUAAACAUGAACGGUUCAAGUUCGACAUAAUUAUGUUCAUCCACAGAAAAACGCAGUUUGAGUGCCUUAAUGAUAACCAAAUUGGCUGAAAUUUUGCAGAGAUGAUCUAUACAUUAGUAUCUAAAUACUAGAUGGUAGAGAUGUGAAAAUUCGAUUGAAAAGUGAGUGUAAAGUGGAAAUCCACACCGUAAGAAUUAAUGCGGACAUCCGAACUUGAGAAAAUCUGUAUAUAUAUUUUUAUAUUCUAGUCUAUGCCAAUUAUAGCUGGUCAUCAUCGAUCUAUAUAUUGACAUGGAUAUUCUAUUUGAAAAGGAUAAAAAGAAAAUAUACAAGAAUUUCUUAUUAACUCAACAGGGGAUGGUUGCAUGCAUGUGAAGGUGUGAAGCCAAGAUUUACUCUAUUAUCAUAGUAUCAUAGCGGAAUAACUCACCUGUAAAUAUCAUUUGAAUACUGAAUACAAGUUCUCAACAUAUAUGAGUUGAAUACAGGUUCUCACAGCCAGCUAGUUCCCUCCCCUAUUAAAACUAAAACUGUGUAUGCAUGUGACUUUUUUGUUGGGAGCUAGCUAUUUGGAAGCGAACAAUAAAUUUCCCAGACAGAACAUUUCGAAACUUCUUCAUAUAAAAUGGCAGCCUCCAGAUCAUCCGUUGAUUAAGCUUAAUUUCGAUUGUUCGGUUAGGGAUAGCUAGUAUUGUUGCGGUAGGCUUUGUUUCAAGGAACUCAGAUGGCAAUCCUAUUUGUGAUGCAGCUAGAAGAAUUAGGGACACUGACGUUCUGGUUGCUGAAGGCAUGAAGCUUCUGCUUUGGGGGAUGGACUACACAAUGCUGUUCUUCAAAAUAAUCCUCACAUACUCAUUAAGGGUGACUCCAAGCUCCUGAUCGAUUGUCUUAACAACAAAGCACGCGUGCCGUAGCGUAUUCAGUCCUCAGUUCAAGAUAUCCACGUAUUAGCUUCUCAAUGCCAUACUGUAAUCUUUCUACAUGUAUUCAUCGCGAAGGGAACUUUGUUGUAGACAAAUUGGCCAGCUUAGGUUAUAAUUUCAUCCUAUCUUUCUUUUUAGAACUCGACUUCGGUGACAAGGGCUGGUCACCACAGCUAAUGAACAUGAGACACGUGUCCAUUUUAAAAGGCUUGGCUGCAAUUUAAAGACAAAACAUGAAGGUUUUGGGUAUUUAACAUGUUUGUUUAUAAUUAUUGUUGACACUUGUUCAUUUCUUAUUGAUGUUUGUCAAUCAUAAGUGACCAUAGCUGGUCACCCAAGUUAUUUCCUUCUUUCUAUGUGUCUCUGUUCACUCCCCAGCGUUCCAAUAAUGAUCUGGGAAUGAAAGUAGCUAGUGACUUAGGUUAUAAUUUCAUCCUACCUUUGGUCAUCUCCAGUAAUAGAGGCUAUAUAGCCAAAUCCUAAAUUUUGGCCUUAUUUUGAUCUCCAAUUCCAACAAGAACUCAAAAGAGGACCAAAGGGCCAUAAAAAGAGCCAAACAUAGCCUUUUGGCUAGCCCGGGCUAAACCAAAUUGUGGUCUCAAAUGAAAUUAAAAAAACUAAAAGUAUGCAUGUUGGUUGAUUGAUGAAUACUCAAAUUAUAACAAUUGUCAACUUUCUAUUGGAUUAUUUCAUUCUCAUCUCAUUACAACCGGUAAAUUCUCUCAACCCAAAAUUCAUAUGGCUAAUAUUUUAUUUUAUUAACAUAAUAGUUAAUUUAAAUAUUAGUAAUUUGGUCCAAAUUCAAAUAAUGUUAUAAUAAAAUAAAUCUAUAAGUGAGAAAUUAUAUGGUAUCUAUCCGUAUGUGAUACAAUGUGACAAUAUAUUUGUAUUUAAAGUGAAAAAUAUUAAAAAGUAUAAUGUGAAAUCAUAAAAUAUUCAAAAGAGCUAAAAUUUGCCCCUCUUAUUAAAAAUCAUUUAAAAGUCUAUAAAUAAAAAAUAAUAUUUUUAAGAGCUAAAUUAUAACCCUGGCUCUAACAUAACCCUCUCCUGUUGGAGAUGGCCUUUUCUUUCUAUGUGUCUCCACGCAAAGUUAUUCAGUGCACCAAGGUUCAAGUGAACCAAUAGUCAGUGACCAAUCACAAUCAUUCAUUUAAUGUAGUCAAUGACAUGACUCUAACACCGAUGCUAACACCAUUAGAUAAUUGAGACCAAAAAAAAAUCUAACCAAUAUGGUAAAAAUAGGUAAGUUUACAAUAAAUAUUACAUGGACAAUUAAUUUCAAUAACAAUGGGAGAGGUUAUCGANNNNNNNNNNNNNNNNNNNNGCCUCCGGGACCUCCGAUCCCUUAUCACCCCGCUGACGCCGUCGAUUCUUACUGAUUGGCCAUCAAGCACUUCCUGCAACUCGAUGUCAUUCACUCACUCACCUUGAUUCUUACCGACUGCCUCCGAUCCGAGCUCGCCAAAAAUCCCUAGUCAUGGUCGUCCUCGUCGUCUUCUCUCCAGUCAGUACUCAGUAGUGUUAUAAUAAGAUAGGUAAUUGUAGUUUUACUACGUUUCUAUUUUUUUUGUGAAAGUUUGCUAACUUAAUAUUGAUAUAGUUCCGUUACCCUAUGUUAGCUGGUUCAAGUGCAUCGUGGUGCACUAAAUCCGCUCCGGUGUCUCCACUUCCCAGUGUUCCAAUUGAAUGAGCUCUGAAGGAAAGUAGCCAGGUGGUUUUCUGUCGUGGUGUUUCUUUUCUUUUUCGUACUUUAUCAAAAAGAAAAACAUAAAAGUUAAAGUAAUAUCUACAUUAUUGAAAAAGGAACAUGAUGAAUACAUUAUUGCAAAUCAGUACUACUUAUUUCAGACUAAAAAAAGAAAAGGCAGUUCUACUCGUCUCAGUUGUCUGUAUCCCACCAGAGUCUACAUCCCACCAGAGUCUGCAUCAGUGAUCAGUACCCCAGCCGCCUGUAAAGUAUACAUUGGACGUUAAAUUUGACUACGCACAGUUGAUCGAAUCACAAUCAUUAUAGAAAAUAUCUCUAUGGUGAAAGUUUUGCGAUAUUUUGAGAGGAGGUGGUGAAAGAUGGACCAGAAACAACAGUACGUACUACUGAAGGCUAUAGUGGAUGAGCAUGAUCUGAUUAUAGUUGGUAGAAGGUUUCAGGUGGAGUGCCCUCAGACUGCAGGACUUACAGAAUGGAGUGACUUUCCCGAACUAGGGACUAUGGGAGACCUACUUGCAUCACCUGAUCUAAAUUGUAAAGCUUCUAUUUUAGUGAUAAAACAUCAACAACAGAUCACUUAAUUGAAGCUUUUGCAGAUCAUGUUAAAUUAAUGAUUUUAGGAAUUUGGAAUUUUUGCACCUUUUUAAUUUUCAAAUUUGAUUUUUGUUUAUAUCUUUUCACGUAGCGCUUGAACUGAAAUUGAUAUUUCACGAAACUUCACUGGAUUUUAAAGUUCUAGAUGCCAAUUUCAGCUAAAUCGUUCAAUAUAUACUAGACAUCCAACUGGUUCUCUUGUCCAUCUUCAUGUCCUUGAAACUGUAACACACUACACUUCAUCAAAAAAAAAAACACACUACACCAAAACACUCCAAAAUUCAAAUUGUAGCUCUUGAAGGUGGUCUUGGCGUGUACGAAUGUAAUGCUGAAGAAGAAACAAAUAAAGAAGAAAAUCAAUAUAUGAAACAGAGGAUACUUAAUCCCAAAACAGGGUAAAUCCGGAGACCUUAGAUAACAAUAACAGUUCAGACUCACCUUUUUUUGUUUCAUAUUCCUCUUCUCAUAAAGCAAUGAUAUGCAUGUUGAUUUAUACUAGUGUUGCAACAUACCACAAAGAGUACGUCUUUGAUAAAGUAAUCUGGGUUUCAUAUCCAAAACACAUUGACAAUGGAUGGAGAGGCCCAAACCCUUAUAAACCCAUAUGUAAUGUCACAUAUUCCCGAUAUGUGAUUGAUAUCUCAACACGCCCCUGCACAUGUGGCGAAUUUUCAAGUAGACCUGUAAAUUAAUGGACCGGAUCUUGAUUCGGACCCGCUCUGGAUCUGUGGUUUUUAAACGGGUUUGGAUCAAAAAUUUGAUCCGUUAAAGACCCGGAUCCGUUAACCCGUAUAUUAAACGGAUCGAGGUUGUUCUGAUCCGUUAAGGACCCGGAUCAAUUUUAAAAUAAUUAAAUAUAUUUUAUAAAUAUAAUAUUACUGAUAAAUAUUAAAUAAAAUAAUAAUAAUUUGGAUAACCUAAGCAUCUAAAUUGCGUCUAAAGUAUGAUUUGAUGAAGUUGAAGGUUAUUGAUGCCUAUGUUCUUCUUAUUCUCUUUGCUAAAAACAUUGGAGGUCUAGUAUUUUGAUUAUAUUAGUUUAUUGUUAAGGAGUAUUUUAGCCAUGUAAUUCAACUUUUGAUGUAAACAUUUAUUUUGUUAUAAUAUUUCAUUAGUGUUUUAUGAAAAUUUAUGAUAAAAUUAAGAAAUUAUUAUUUAAAAUUUGAAAAUAUCUAUUAUUAUAAACGGAUCGAAUUAACGGGUUGGGUAUCCGUUAACCCGUCGGAUCCGGAUUUGGAUCGAGCUAUCAAUGAUCUAGUGGGUAACGGUUUAGAUCCGGAUCUAAGUCGAUCUGCUACAAAUCCGGUCCAUUUACUGGUCUAUUUUCAAGCCUAACACGUGGAGUUUGUGUGGCCAUUUGGGCUUCACACGUGGACGUGGGUAACCCGCUCUAAUACCAUAAAGUAGUCUGGGUUUCUCAUCCAAAACCAAUUGACAAUGAAUAGAGAUGCCCAAACCCUUAUAAACCCAUAAGGAAUGUCCCAUAUUCCCGAUGUGGGAUUAAUAUCUCAACAGUCUUUACUGGGAAAUACCCUACUGUACUGGUACUAGUUGUAACGAAGCGAGGAAAAAUUCUAAUAUACCAUAUGGUAUAGCAUGCCUCACAAAAUGUGUGGCUAUCAUUGAUUGAAGAAGCAACUAAAUUACCAUGUAAUGACCAUUUACCCUCUUCAAAAGCCCUCAUGUGUCAUACAAUUAGACACAUUUGCAAUAGACAUGCCAUACCAUAUGGUAUGAUAGACAUUUAGUGGUUGACCCAUGUCUCACAAAAUGUGUGUUAUCAUUGAUUGAAGCAGCAACUAAAUAAUCAUGUAAUGACCAAUAACCCCCUUCAAAAGCCCACAUGUGUCAUACAAUUAGACACAUUUGCAAUAAACAUGUCAUACCAUAUGAUAUGAUAGACAAUUUAGUGGUUGACCCAUCAAUUCCAAGUCUUCCUAGUUCCUUAAUAAGUUUUGCUACUGGUUAUCAUCUAUUCAAUGUCUUUGCUCUAUAAUACUGCUUCCUAUGAUCGAUAAGUCAGUCAUCUUUGGAAAACAACGUCAUGCCACUAGUCCCUAAUGGAAAGAGAAUGAUCAAAUUGAGUCACUUGUCGUUUGUAAGGAAGCAACAAGUCAACUAAAGAGUGCUCAUCUUGAUCAUAUAUUCUGUGGCUCGAAUGAACUUACAGUAUAAAACGAGGAUUAGUUAGUAUUAAGGACAAUGGUACGGGAAAUUGAAUUCAGUUCAUAUUCGGAAGCUAGAGUUGAUGCUGUUCUUCUGAUCCUUUUCGCAAAAUCCUCCUCUUUAAUCCAUAUCUGGCCCUCCCCACACUACCCUGCAACUUCAUUGAACUGAUGCAGCUAGCACAGUUAAAUCUCUCUCUCUCUCUCUCUGAUUAAUUUAUGAAAGGAAUAUAUAUGUCUUCACUGUUUAGCUGAGCUAUAUUAGAACUUGAUAAGUGUCUCCAACUGCCAGUUCCAUGUCCAUAUUGCAGGUUUAACGGUUAAUCCUCCAGACGAGAUUCUAUCUUUCAAAAUCUUGAGAUAUGAGCAGGCAGAGCAGCCAGAUCGAAAAUGUGUCAAUUGACUUACGGUUGGUUUCAUUAAGUUAAAGAAAAUCUAAACUUAAGUUGAUUUUUUUAAUAUAUAUAUAUUUUUUUAUUCCAUCAAUUUGAUGCUUAACAUGUCAUCGAUGCUUAACAAAAUCGAUGCUUAACAAAAUCUAAACUUAAUUAGUUGAUUGAUUAUAUUUUCAGAAAUCUAGAUGGGAUCGUUCUAGAUGGAGAAUCUGACAAGGAAAAUGGAGGAGACAGUAGCAGAAGGCCAGCGGUGGAGGACAUCCUUAAAAACCGUGAUAAGGCAAUGCAUAGAUGGAACACGCUCUUCAUCAUUGUCUGUGCAUUUGCGGUCUUCGUUGAUCCUUUGUUCUGUUAUAUCCAUGUCGUUGAGGAGGACUAUACGUGCUUCGAUUACGACUUCAACUUGUUCUGGAUAUAUUGUGGUUUACGAACAGCCUGUGAUGCAUUUUAUGUAAUCGACAUUAUCAUUUUCCUCUGUGGAAUUUGCAAGAAACGUAAAGGUAAGAUAUUUGUGUCAUGCGGGAAGCCAAGCAGUGAGAAAAAAAGGGCACUUCCAUUGAAAGAAAUAUUCAGGAAACGGUGCUUGCUUCCGUUAUCCAUUCUACCUCGGAUUUUGGUUUCCCUUCCCAUUCCAGCGGUAAGAGAACCCUAGCCUUUUCAAUAUACUAAUCAAACUUUACCUAUAAAUGGAUAUGGCCUGGGGUUUGCCAAAUAAAUAUGCUUAUUGUUCUCUGUCAUUGGAUUCAAAUCAUUCAAUUGUUACACAAUAAUUAGAUUUAACUUUUGGCUUAACUGAUUGCAGGUGCUCUUGGGCUUAAUAAUUUUUCUUGCCAGCAACUACGAAAUUUACUUGGAUCCAUUUUUUGUUAUUAUUAUUAUCACCCCUUUUCAGUACACACUACGGAUCUUUCUCAUCUAUGGAUCUCAAAGGUGGCGUCCUAUCAAAAAGACUACAAGAGGAAGAUGGCUUAAACCUUUAUUGGAUUUUCUUCCCUUCAUCCUUGCUUCUCAUGUAAUAAAUCAAUGGAAUAAGAAUAAAUAAUUUUAUUUUUCAAUGUAUAUUCUCAUUGUGAAAUCUCCCUACUCUCAUUCUCAAAAGAAUUUUCUUACUCAACAACUUAAUGAUUUGUCUUUCAGUUAUUUGGAGCAUUGUGGUAUCGUCUUGCUAUACAACGACAUAUAGAUUGUUGGAAGUCACACUGUCAAGAAUUAACAGGAAAAUCGUGUUGUUCAUCUUUUAAUGCUUUCGAAUGUGGGACGACGAUCAACGCCAAGCGUGUGCAAGAACUAUGCCCUACAAAAGUUGCAGAUCCAAAAAUCUUCGACAUUGGUAUAUAUUCUUAUGCUGUUCAGUCCAAUGUGACAUGUCGAUCAUCCCAUCUUUUGCAAAGGAUGUCGCUAUCUUUCUGGUGGGCUCUAAGGAAUCUAAGGUUCGUUCAUCUAGAGAUACAUAAGUCUGUUUUGAUGGUAUAUAAUUUAUAGAAAACAUUAUUAUCGAUCACAAUAAUUUUGUAAUGAGCGAUGGAAUCUAGUUAUUAACGAACCGUUUGUUUCUUUUCUUUUCAGUUCUUUUGGUUCAAACCUCAACACGAGCAUGGAUACGCUAGAAAACUUCUUCUCAAUUGUAAUAUCUAUAUGUGGCAUGGCGCUUUUUUUAGUAUAUCUCAAUGCAAGAGUGCAGGUUGGUGCUGGAAUCAGACUUCGAUCAUAUGACAUCACAUAAUUAGGGGGAACACAUCAUUUAGAUUUAGUACUUACUAAUCAUCAUUGGAUGAAAACUAACUAGCAGCUAUUCUUAAGAAGCAAACUGAUCAUGAGCAUUUUUUCCCAAAAAAAAAAAAAAACAAAGAUAACAAAGAUCAGGAGCAUGCAUGCAUACUGCAGCAAAAUAUAUUUCUUCCAAAAAAUUACUAAUAUCUUUUAGAGUAUUAUGAACUCAUCUAUUGUUGUUAUUUGAUAUAUCUGGAAUGAUUAUAUAUGUAGGAGUCACAAUCAAGGUCAAAUCAGCAUAAACUGAAAGAAAAGAAGCAAUUGAUGAAACCGGAUAUAGAUCUGUGGUUAUCUAAAAAUGAUCUCUCCCACGUGAAGAUAACGACCAAGGAGUCUAAGGAUCUGAAGACAACGAUGAAGAAAAAGACUCUGAAGACGGUGAUCAUUGAAAACAUAGACAAACUUGAAGAAAACAAAGACAUUGAUUUGCAAAAUAUCAUCAAUGUUCUUCCCAUAAAAUUCAAAAAAACAUCACCCAUCUCCUCUGUUUGGCUUCACUAACAAAGGUGAGUAUAUUUUUUGCUGCAAAUUUGAAGGGAAACUUUAAGAACAUGUAUGUAACUGAUUUUCAUCCUUAGGUGCCAACGGUUGCAAAUUUGAAUGCCAAAAUGUUGAAAGUGAUUUGUGAGCAUCUGAAGCCAGUCAUUUACACUGAAGACAACUACAUUGUUCGAGAAGGGAAACCACUUGGUAUGAUGCUCUUCAUCACACAAGGACUCGCAUGGAGCUACACAACCGAACACAUCAAUGGUGGACGAACAAGCUUUGAUUCUUCAAGUAAUGAGUGGUUAAAGAAAGGUGAUUUUUACGGAGAAGUGCUGUUGAAUUGGGCAUUCAAGUCUCCCUCCUUCUCUUCUUUACCAAUCUCCACUAGAACUGUUAUGUCCCAAGAAAAAGUUGAAGCAUUCACUCUAAGGGCUAGCGACUUGAAGAGUAUAGUCUGCAAAUUCUGGUGGCAUUUUACCAGAGAGCUCGAGCAAGUGGAGCUAGAACAGUGGGAGAAUGCAGCAGCUUCUUCAAUACAAGGAGCUUGGCGCAACCGUUUGGCAAAGGCUAGGCGUUCAAAUCGCUGGGACAAAUUUACCGCCCAUUAUUAGUGUAUAUUAUGUAAGUACUCUACUGAAACAAAGAUUUUCAUUUUGUAGUUAUUUUUAUUUUUAGGUGUUACAAGGCUUUUUCUUUUAUUUUAUUGAGUUGUUGUCUAGCGAGUAGUGACUCCUUUUCAUAUGUUUGUAUACAUGGAGUCCUCUCAGAUAUACAGAUCCAGUAAUAAGGUUAAUUGCUUGUUUAUACCAUUUUAAUCUACAGUUAUCAACAUUUGAGUUGGAUCAGAUGACUAGUUAUUUCAUGUUCAUAUCAAAUAUAAAUAUAUGCAUCUACUCAUUUGAAAUGACUCAUAGUGAGAGGACCUCGGCCCGCUUUUAAAAAAGUGUAUUGUUGAUAUGAAUUUGAUAUGAAUUUGAAAUAACUGAGUCAUUUCAUAUACUUCUGUCUUGUAGUUUGCUGUAUUCUGUUUCUUGAGCAAAACUUGCCAUGUUGUUAACCGAAAUCUGCAGAUUUGCCUUGUGCCCUUGUCAAUAAUAAUAUUCUGAAUACAGCUGUUCUUCAGGGCUGGUGGUGGGAAUUCGAACUUAAGCCCUCAUUAAAUUGUUUGGGGGAAAAGGAAAAACAUUUGCAGGAACUAGAAUAUCUUAUUGCAUUUUCCAGCUGAAAUGAAAUAUUACAAUUUUGAUAAACCUCAUGGUAAUAUAUUCAGAACAAGAUAAUAGUAUAAUGCCAAUGACAUUGUUAAAGCUACCAGAUCCAUGAGUUAUUACAGAAAAGAAUACCACUAGUAGCUCACAAUGACACAGUUCAAAUUCACAGGAUCACAAUGUUGUCACAUAAUAUAUCCUAUCCUAAUCUUUGACACUAAUCUACCGAUCCUAGAAACCUAGACCUUAGCAGUAGGGCUGGUCUUCACUCAAUCAGUCGGAGAUACACCUGGUAAGCCAACAUUGAUCAUUAUUUCACGUUUUCAACUACUAUAAAGCAAGGUGGUUUGGUGUCAAAGGCUUCACCUAGUUUAGUUUACCUGUUAUACACUGGCACAUAUGGUGCAAGAACUUAACUAUAACAUUCUAUAGCACAAAGAUAUUGUUCUUUGCAGUUUACAUAGUACUAGUUCACAGGUGUGGAACAAUAUCAGCAUGGACAGAAGCUAUUUCAGCUUCUUCUGCUAAAGUUAUUUCAGCUUUUUACUGAAGUCAGAAAGCUGAAGAAUCUGAAUACUGGAAAUACUAGCAGCUUCUUCCCUCUCUUUUUGUGUAUUGUACCCCCAAUCCCCUAAUCGAAAACACAAAUUAGCAACCAAAGAAAGUGAGUACCACAAAAUACAAAUCCACAAUAAUGCAAAGCAAACACAGCAAUGAUACUAAACCAUUUAGCAGUAUCUUGUAAUACUAAAGGGAGAAAGUAAAGAGGAAUUUUACCUAGAUAGAGAUUCCAACCAUUUAAUUCGGGUUCUCCGAUGACAUUCUUCAGGGUUGCCAGUCUAUCUUCCAAAAAGCUGGUAAAAGUUGCAUAAUUUUUCUCAUUCAGAUUAACUAUGAUAGAGUAAUGAGAAGGAGGAUAUCCAGCGUAGCAGUGCAGAAUUUAGUCAAAAGCUUCAAUAAUGGAGUCAAGAUCAUUAUAUUGGAACAUCUUCUACACUACUACUAUUAGAUAUUAAGUGGAAAAGUAUCUUACUGAAGUUUAAGCCCCUGAUGUUUCUUCUGAAGUUGCUUCAAAACUUCUACCUUUGGACUGCAAGGGGAUUAAAAAGUGAGUAUUGUUCUACAUCAUCGAAAGCAAGCCACAGGCAUAAGUGUGAAACUACCAAAUACAGACUAUCAUUAAGUUAUUAGACUAACCCAGAUCCUAGACCAAAAAUUCUAUCAGGCGGUAUUGUAACUCCUGCUAGUUCUCGCAAGAAAGCAUCAGCAAAUCGGCUCUGCAUAGAAAAGAAACAGAAACUAACAUUGUGGGAAAAUACCAGAAGGAAAAGUCUAAUCUACAAAGAAACUGAGCUAACUGCUCAUUAUGAAAUGUGUCAACGACCGACUACAGAGCUAACCGGAAUUUCAAUCACGUAACUCAAAUUGUAUCAGCACUAUCUUUCCCUGCUUUUGUCCUCUUCAUUUAGGGGAAAGUAAAAUUCACAAAAUACUCCAAUGUCAUAUCUAAUGCUUGGAUUAAUUGGUUACACACCUGUUUUGUGGUGACAACAUAUAUGGUAGAGCUUGUGAAUUUUAGAGCAUCAGGAACACCCGGAUAUAAUCUGCAAGCAAAGCCUCUCCCAUUCAGUCAUGAAAUAACAUUCAACUAUAAACCAAAACUAUGUUACCUAUAACUAAAUUAAACAAGCCUCCGAAUUUCGCUUCAGAUUGUUUGAUCAAGCAUUUCAAAUUGGGGGCACCUCACCUAUUUGCACCAAUCCAAGUUUUCAAGUCAUGGUCCAUCCACUCAUCCCUGACCUUCGCGAAAAAAAUCUAUAAGCCCAUCCCUGUCCUCACCCCAUUCCUCCAUAAUCACAGGCUUCAACUCUGACCACUUCUCCAAUAUCCCCUCCACUGUGAGCCCUUCACCGACUGAUGACUUCCUUAUAGAAGGAACCCUCAUCUCCAGAAGUAACCUCACAAGUAGAAGAUUCUCGUACCCGGUUUCCACCACAGGCCUCACCUAAUUCAUCAUCAUUCGUUUCUCCACAAUUAGACAAAUCAAAUAUUACAUGGGUUUUGUGUGAUUAAGCAUAUUACGGACUUACAAUGCGCAUUUGAUCAAGAACCCAAUUCUCCAAAGUUGAAUCCACACCGUUGAACAGAGCUGGCCAUCUGACUUUAGCAGCCUACAGAUUACCAUUCAAGGAAAGUAAACAAGUUGUGAAGUGAAAAGCUUGGGGGUUUUGGAAUGGUUUGAUCGAAGUCAAUACCUUCAUGGUAGAGAGAGAGCUCUCUCCGCAGCUAUCACAGAUGACUCCGUCGAAAUCCAAAGCGUAUAGAUCACCCAUUUCUGAGUCUCUAGCUUCUGUGUCUGACGGAGGGUCUUUGAGUUCAAAUGCUCCUACAGCUUCAAUUGGUCCCACGACGGCGUUUUACAGGAUGACACAGUUGUAUAUAUACUUUGCCUAAACACCGGAGCACACGUAACAACCUUAAUUAUAAGGAGGUUUAAAUUAUAGCCCAACAUACAUAUAGCCCCAUAUAUUUCACUUUGAUUAGUCGCAUUAGGAGUAUUAUAGUUAUUGAAGGGCGACAAAUUCAAGACCGUCUUUAUAAAUAUAUAAGUAUCUCCGCUCAUUUAUGAUAAACCAUCAUAUUUCAUCUUCUCAUACUUCUCUUUAAAUUUUUUUUAUAUACCGAUUUAAACGUCAGAGAGUAAAAUGUCAGCAACCAUAAUCUUCUAUUCUAACGCUAAUUUAAGGUGAAAGGUCAAAGAUGGUGAGCUUCCUGCAUUUCGGUAAUUAGCGGUAAAGCUCAACAGAGAAAGGAAAAAAAAAGGGUGAAAGUGUGUCACGGAACAACGACAGUGAUUAGUACAGUGACCAUAAGUGGCACUGUAAUAAUUGUCUAUGGUUUCGUCAAUUCUGCUAUAAGUGAGAAAGAGCGAACUAUAUGAGAAGAAAACGCAUGACACAAAAUAUUUGAUUUUUGGACCGAAACUUUAUUUCAAGGCUCAAACCACAUCGGCAAACCCGUAGAUGAUUUGCUAGGAUUUCGUAAGAACAUGUCCACCCCUAUGUCAAAAGCCUAACUUGGGACUUCAGCCACCUCAUUUUAUGACCCAGCUUCAAAAAUUGCAUAUCCACCCAUGAAAAAUAAUCUAUGAUACGAUCUUAACUUAAUUAUGCAUUAUGAACUUAUUAAUUUGUUAUUGAAUGAUGUGUAGAGUCACAAACAAGGUCAAAUCAGCUUAAAUCAAACGGAAAGAAGUAUUUGAUGAAGCCGGAUAUAGAUUUGUGGUUGUCCAAAAAUGGACUCUCUAACUUGAAAUCCAUGACCAAGGACUCCAGGGACCUGAAGACAAUGGCCAAAAAGAAGGCUAUAAAGACGGUGAUCAUUGAAAACUCAGCCAAACUUGAAGAAAACAGAAGUAUUGAUGUGCGGAACAUCAUUUCUAUCAUUCCUAUAAAAUUCAAAAGAAGCAUCGUCCGCCUUCUCUGUAUGGUAAGUAUUUACAUGAAUCUAUUAUCCUUCAGCACUCAAAGAUGUUAAAGUAUCAACUACUGAAUUAUAUCAACACAUAGGUUCCAAUGCUUGAAAAUUUGAAUGAAAUAAUGUUGAAAGUGAUUUGUGAGCAUUUGAAGCCAGUCAUUUACGCUGAAGACAACUAUAUUGUUCAAGAAGGCAAACCACUUGGUAUGAUGAUGUUCAUCACACAAGGACUUGCAUGGAGCUACACAACCAAAAACAUCAAUUGUGGACGACCAAGCUUUGAUUCCUCAAGCAAUGAGUGGUUAAAACAAAGUGAUUUUUACGAAGAAGAGCUGUUGAAUUGAGCAUUCAAGUCUCCCUCUUUUUCUGGCUUACCCUUUUCCUCUAGAACCAUUAUGUCUCGAGAAAAAGUCGAAGCGUUUGCUCUAAGGGCUAGGGACAUGAAGAGUAUAGUUUGCAAAUUCUUGUGGCAUUUUACCAAAGAACUCGAACAAGUGGAUUUAGAGCGGUGGGAGAAUUCAGCAGCUUCUUCAAUACAAGCAACCUGACACAACCGUUUGGAAAGGGCUAAGCAUUCAAAUCGCUGGGACAAAUUUACCACACAUUAUUAGUGUAUAUUACGUAAGUACUACUAAAACAAAGGCUUUUCACUUUAUUGUUAUUUUUAUUUUAGGUGUUGCAAGACUUCUUUUUUUUUUUAAUUGAGUUGUUGUCUAGUGAGUAGUGACUACUUUUUAUAUGUUCAGUUUCCAUGGAGUCAUUUCAGAUAUAGAAAUCCAAUAAUAAAGUUAAUAGCUUGUGUAUACCAUUCCAAUCUAGAGUUAUCAACAUUUUCAGUAGUUGGAUUUCAGAUGACCAGUUAUUUCAAAUUCAUAUCUAAUAUAUUGCAUCUACUCAUUUCAAUUACCUUAUGUCUAGUAGUUUGCUAUAUUCUGUUUCCUGAACAAAACUUGCCUUGUUGUUAACCAAAAUUUGCAGAUUUGGGAUCAUUUCAUCCAGCUGAAAUGGUUUUUGUGUCUUGUCAAUAGUAGUACAUAGUCUGAAUAAAGUUGUUCCUCAAGGCUGGUGGCUGUUAAGAUAUAAAUCUCAUAUCAGGAAUAUGAGACUUUAUAUGUGGGUUUAUAAGGGUUUGAGCAGUUUCAUCUAUUGCAAUUGGUUUUGGAUGUGAACCCCAAACUACUUUAUAAUGGUAUCAGAGAGGGUUAUCCACGUCCACAUGUGAAGCCUAAAUGUCACACGAACUCCAUGUCACCCUAAAUGUUGUCUACGUGUUAGGCUUGAAAAUUCCCUACACAUGCAGAUAUAAAUCUCAUAUCUGGAAUAUGAGACCUUGUCUGUGGGUUUAUAACGGUUUGGACCGUUUCAUCCUUUGCCAAUUGGUUUUAGAUGUGAACCUUAGACUACUUUAUCAGUGGCGUCCUCAUUAUAUCAUUUAGGAAAAAGGAAAAGCAUUUGCAUGAACUAGAACAUCUCCUUGAUGUAUUUUCCAGCCUGAAAAUAUUCAGAAUUUAAAUGAGAAAUUACAAUUUUGAUACACCUAUGGUAAUGUAUUCAGAAUAAAAUAGAUAAUUUAAUGCCAAUGAAAUAGUUAAAGCUACAACCAGAUCCAUGAAUUAUUACAUAAUAAUAUCUCUGGUGAAAGGUUUGCGAUAUUUUUAGAGGAGGUGGUGAAAGAUGGACCAGAAACAACAGUACGUACCACUGAAGUCUAUAGUGGAUGAGCAUGAUCUGAUUAUAGUUGGAAGAAGGUUUCAGGUGGAGUGCCCUCAGACUGCAGGACUUACAGAAUGGAGUGACUUUCCCGAACUAGGGACUAUGGGAGACCUACUUGCAUCACCUGAUCUAAAUUAUAAAGCUUCUAUUUUAGUGAUAAAACAUCAACAACAGAUCACUUAAUUGAAGCUUUUGCAGAUCAUGUUAAAUUGAUAAUUUUAGGAAUUUGGAAUUUUUUCACCGUUUUAAUUUUCAAAUUUGAUUUUUGUUUAUAUCUUUUCACUUAGCGCUUGAACUGAAAAGGAUAUUUCACGAAACUUCACUGGAUUUUAAAGUUCUAGGUUCCAAUUUCAGCUAAAUCGUUCAAUAUAUACUAGACAUCCGACUGGUUCUCUUGUCCAUCUUCAUGUCCUUAAAACUGUAACACACUAUACCAUUACACUUCCAAAAUUCAACUUGUAGCUCUUGAAGGUGGUCUUCCCGUGUACUAAUGUAAUGCUGAAGAAGAAACAAAUAAAGAAGAAAAUCAAUAUAUGAAACAGAGGAUACUUAAUCCCAAAACAGGGUAAAUCUGGAGACCUUAGAUAACAAUACAGUUCAGACUCACCCUUUUUUGUUUCAUAUUCCUCUUCUCAUAAUGUAAUGAUAUGCAUGCUGAUUUAUACUCGUGUUGCUUACUGGUCGAUCACGUUGCAAAACUACAUACCACGAACAAUACGUCUUUACUGGGAAAUACCCUACUGUACUGGUACUAGUUGUAACGAAUCGAUGGAAAAUUCUAGUAUACCAUAUAUUAUAGCAUGUCUCAUAAAAUGUGUGUUAUCAUUGAUUGAAGAAGUAACUAAAUGAUCAUGUAAUGACCAUUUACCCCUUUCAAAAGCCCACAUGUGUCAUAUAAUUAGACACAUUUGCAAUAGACAUGUCAUACCAUAUGGUAUUAGACAUUUAGUGGUUGACCCAUGUCUCACAAAAUGUGUGUUAUCAUUGAUUGAAGCAGCAACUAAAUAAUCAUGUAAUGACCAUUUACCCUCUUCAAAAGCCCACAUGUGUCAUACAAUUAGACACAUUUGUAAUAAACAUGCCAUAUCAUAUGGUAUGAUAGACAAUUUAGUGGUUGACCCAUCUAUUCCAAGUCUUCCUAGUUCCUUGAUAAGUUUUGCUACUGGUUAUCAUCUAUUCAAUGUCUUUGCUCUAUAAUACUGCUUCCUAUGAUCGAUAAGUCAGUCAUCUUUGGAAAACAACAUCAUGCCACUAGUCCCUAAUGGAAAGAGAAUGAUCAAAUUGAGUCACUUGUCGUUUGUAAGGAAGCAACAAGUCAACUAAAGAGUGCUCAUCUUGAUCAUAUAUUCUGUGGCUCGAAUGAACUUACAGUAUAAAACGAGGAUUAGUUAGUAUUAAGGACAAUGGAUACGGGAAAUUGAAUUCAGUUCAUAUUCGGAAGCUAGAGUUGAUGCUGUUCUUCUGAUCCUUUUCGCAAAAUCCUCCUCUUUAAUCCAUAUCUGGCCCUCCCCACACUACCCUGCAACUUCAUUGAACUGAUGCAGCUAGCACAGUUAAAUCUCUCUCUCUCUCUCUCUCUCUGAUUAAUUUAUGAAAGGAAUAUAUAUGUCUUCACUGUUUAGCUGAGCUAUAUUAGAACUUGAUAAGUGUCUCCAACUGCCAGUUCCAUGUCCAUAUUGCAGGUUUAACGGUUAAUCCUCCAGGCGAGAUUCUAUCUUUCAAAAUCUUGAGAUAUGAGCAGCCAGAUCGAAAAUGUGUCAAUUUACUUACGGUUGGUUUCAUUAAGAACCUGAUAACCCAAAGAAAAUCUAAACUUAAGUUGAUUUUUUUUCAAAUAUUUUUAUUCCAUCAAUUUGUGCUUGACAUCUCCUUGCCUGCGCCAAUAAUUGUACUUGACAUGACCUGGUCUGUAAUAAUGGGAGUCUUCAAAACGUCCUCUUCCAUGAUUGUAGCCACGACCUCUUCCUCUAGUUGGAAACGUGGUGUCUACACUUCUAUCAUCUUCAUGUUGAUUGCUUGAUGAGCCUCUUCCAAUUCCUUGAAAAUUAUUACCUCUUCCACGAGAAUUAAAACCACGUCCUCGUCCCCUUGCUCGACCAGCACUUCCAUUCCAACGUUGAAAUCUGUGAGCAUGAUUCCAAUUGCCUCCCGUGGAUGUGACUUAGGACUUGAGUGCCUGAUCAGGUUGAGAAGAGGCAGAGUUCCUCUUAUUAAUCAUGAACUCAUGAGCUUCCAAUCUUCCUUGCAAGUCAUCCAAACUGAGAGUAGACAAAUCUGUUGACUCUUCAAUAGCAGCUUCAACAUAGUCAAACUUCGGUGUCAGACUCCGAAGAACUUUUUCAACCACCCUUGCAUCUUCUAAAAUCUCCCCAUUUGAUGCCAUUUUAUUAACCACAGAAUUUACUCUGGUAAAAUACUCCCUUAUGCUUUCUGUCUCCUUCAUCUCCAACUUUUCGAACUCCGAUCUUAGAGUUUGAAGACGAACCAUUUUCACCUUCUCUUUGCCUUUGUAGGCUGCAUGAAUGAUGUCCCAGGCUUCCUUGGAGGUCUCAGCUUGAGCAAUUCUUUCAUACACAGACUCUUGAAUUGUCUGGUAAAUAUAGAAAAGCGCCUUGCUAUCCUUCUUUCGAUUCUCCUUCAAAGCAUUCCUCUGUUGUUGUGUUAAUGCACCUUCAUUCUCCGGUUCGACGUAUCCUUCUUCGACAACGUUCCAUAUCUCCAGGGACUUCAACAAUACGUUGACAUUCUUGCUCCAAUAAUCAUACUUCUCACCAUUGAAACGAGGAAUGAGUGAUAGCAUAUUGGAGUUGUUUUCAUUCGCCAUAGGAGCAGCACGAGCCUCUACAGCUCUGACACCAGAAUGUAGAAGGAAGAGAACAGAGCAAGUGUUUUGGAAAUGAGUUCUUAUUGAAUACUUCUACUCUCUCUUAUCUCAAACAGCAAGAUUACAUAGACUUAUAUAGGAACAAGACCUGACUCUAUAACUUCUUAACUUACCAAGACAUUAAACACCCACUUCAUGCUAAUGAAGAUGAAAAGACUCAUAACAGUUGAAACUGAAAAUACUGGAAACUAAAAGAUUAAAAACUGACAGCAGCCUUAUUCUAGGAAAACAAACCAGCAAAUUUGGUUUAAUUAGCCAACAUUCUGCUGGUUUAUUUGUGACUCAACGAAAGUAUGCUCAAGAUCUUCUUCAUAAGUCUGGAAUGGAUGAUUGCACUAUUUUCUCUACUCCUUGUAAGUCUGGCUUGAAGCUUGUCAAAGAUGAGGGCGUUCCUUUACAGACUCAUGAAAUCACUCAGUUUAGGAGUUUGGUUGGAUGUUUACAGUAUUUGACCUUCACAAGGCCUGAUAUUACCUAUGCUAUUAACUCAAUGUGCCAAUUUCUUCACUCUCCAACUCAAAUCCAUCUUUAUGCUGCUCAAAGAGUCUUGAGAUAUGUCAAAGGAACUAUUUCACAAGGGAUUCAUUUCAGAAGAGGUGUUAAUGCUAGUCAGCAUGACUCUUUUCCUUCUUCUCUUAAUCUUUCAGCCUUUUGUGAUGCAGACUGGGCAGGUGAUCCAAAUGAUCGAAAUCCACUACUGGAUUUGUCAUUUUGCUCAAUCAAUCUCCAAAAUCUUGGUGCAGUAAGAAACAAACAGCUGUGUCUAGAUCUUCUACAGAAGCUGAAUACAGAAGCAUGGCUGACACUACUUCUGAAAUCAUGUGGCUUAAACUUCUGCUUAAUGAUCUUCAUGUUUCACUUUCUGAUGUUCCAGUUCUUCACUGUGAGUCUGUGACAACAUCUCUGCCUUGGCUUUAGCCACUAAUCCAGUCUAUCACUCAAAAUUGAAGCAUAUUGAAGUUGAUGUUCAUUUUACUCGCAAUGCAGUCAAAGCGGCUCAAUCAAGUUGCAGUUUGUCACUUCCAGAAAUCAACUUGCAGACCUAUUCACAAAAGGCCUAUGUUCUCCUCAACAUCUUCAUCUCUGCUCCAGCUUGAUGCUUCUUACCAAUCAUCAAUCUGAGGGAGGAUGUUAAGAUAUAAUGGUCUUCAGAUUAUUUAGUCUUAAGCUUGUCUUAGCUGUUGAUUAAUCUUUUUGUUAAGCUCAUAAUGAGCAGCAGAUAAGAGCCACGUGUUGUUCAUGUGUGGUGCUUAUUGAUCCUAUAUAGGCUAUCUGUAACUCUCUUUGUUCAAUUAACCAGGAACCGAGAUAGUUUUCUCUGUAUUUUACUCCCUUCUUCUCUAAGCUAGUAUUAAGGACAAUGGAUACGGAAAAUUGAAUUCAGUUCUUAUUCUGAAGCUAGGAUAUUGAUGCUGUUCGUCUGAUCUUUUUCGCAAAAUCCUCCUCUUUAAUCCAUUAUUAAGAGUGAAUGUCAUUUUCAGACCUUUUCUUUUGUCUAAAUUAGCGAGUCUAAUCUUGGUUUAGGCUAAUGCAUGUUUAAUCCUAUAUUGGCCUUUCAGCUCAGCUCACGUGCUAGUUGUACUGUAGCUCUCAGCUCCUAUAUAUAUAGUUUGCGAUGUAACCCUAGAAGGGUAGAACAGCCAGCCUUUGUAUCUUCUUUUUCAUUCAAUAUAUCAAGUUUUCAUUUUUUUCAAACCUUUCAAUCUAUUUUUCUAUCAUCCAUAUCUGGCCCUCCCACACUACCCUGCAUAGUUAAAUCUCUCUCUCUCUCUCUGUGAUUAAUUUAUGAAAGGAAUAAAUAUGUCUUCACUGUUUAGCUGAGCUAUAUUAGAACUUGAUAAGUGUCUCCAACUGCCAGUCCCAUGUCCAUAUUGCAGGUUUAACGGUUAAUCCUCCAGACGAGAUUCUAUCUUUCAAAAUCUUGAGAUAUGAGCAGCCAGAUCGAAAAUGUGUCAAUUGACUUACGGUUGGUUUCAUUAAGAACCUGAUAACCGAAAGAAAAUCUAAACUUAAGUUGAUUUUUUUAAUAUUUUUAUUCCAUCAAUUUGAUGCUUAAAAUGUCAUCGAUGCUUAACAAAAUCUAAACUUAAUUAGUUGAUUGAUUAUGUUUUCAGAAAUCUAGAUGGGAUCGUUCUAGAUGGAGAAUCUGACAAGGAAAAUGGAGGAGACAGUAGCAGAAGGCCAGCCGUGGAGGACAUCCUUAAAAACCGUGAUAAGGCAAUGAAUAACGAAAAUUCUUCCAUUCACCUCGUGAAAAUUCACCAAGUGACGUGGCACAAGCACAGCCACAUAUUUAAGUGUAGAUUGAAAUUUGACUAACUUCAACUUUCUUCCGGUUAACGUGUGUUUGAACCUAGGAAUUUGUGAGUCGGAGAGGUAGAAAGAAGGGGGUAAAAUCUGCAGCUCCCGGCUCCCUGGGUUAAAAGUCUAUUUCUGUGUCGACGUCGAUGACUUAGUCGAUGGAGGAUGUCGGAGCUGAAAACACCCGCCGACCAGCACACCAUGUAGGCGGCGAUGCUAGCGCGCAGCCCCCGGCGCAUACCCGAAAAGACUCGCUCCGGCGACGAUGGACCCGGCCGCAGAUAUGGUCCGUCCUUGUGGAGGUGUAGGUUUGGGUGACGAACAAAAAAAAAAAUUUGAUUUGGGUGUGAACAGGAAGAACAACACCAGAGUUUGGGGAUAAAGAUUGGGGAUUGUUAAAGAAGCAAAAUCAGAAAAUAAAUUGAGGGUUUUAGGAGGUGAGGUAAAAUCAAUCUAAAUGGACUGGGGAAAGAGACCAGAUGAUGUUCUCAGCCAUAUAGAGUUGGAGGUAGAUUAGAGAAGAUGAUAGAUCUUCACCGUGAGCCAUUCACACACUCUUUUUGGGCAGAUUGGGUCUAGUCUAGAGAUUGGGCCCGAGAAUUCUUUUUGGGCUAGGGUAUUGGUUUUUAUUUAUUUUUUUAUUUUAGUUUUUUUUAUUUUAGACUUUUGGGUGUGUGUAUAUAUAUAUAAUUUAACGAAUUGUUCUGUCACCUAUAAAAAAAACAUCCAACAGUUUUUUUUUCGAUAAAAAAAAUGGAAUGAACUCUGUUUUUACCUUUAGAUUUAGUUGUUAAGGUUUAAAUGUAGUAAUGUACAUCUUAGUGACAUAAAAAUAGAAUUGUAAAUUUUGAAAAAUCAGCCGUUAGAUGUGAUCGGUAGAGUAAAAUACGGCUACGGUAAAAAAAUCACAUAUUUUUGAUAAAUUCUGGGAAACCUUAGAUGUGAUGCGGUCAACCCUAUUUACGUUUUUGUUUCCCUAUGGGAAACCUUAUUAUGGGAAGGUAAACCUCCCUAAAUUUUUAUAUAGGCUACUGCAUCUCAUGUAUGUGAGAGUGUGUGAGCAGAAUAAUCGACCAAAAUAAGUCACAAAAAGGUAGGUAAUAGUGUUUUCGUGUAAUAAGUGACAUUGAUUUAGGGUUGACCGCGUCGAUCAAUGCCCAAACGUUAUCGAAAAUAGGUGAAUUUUGUUUAUUUGACAUGUUUAAGUGUACUGAUUACACCUAACGGUUGAAUUUUCAUUUUGUGAAUUUUAGUCAUUUGAACCACAACAUAUCUAUUAAUGUGGUAUAAUUUGUUUAGUGUGUUAUAUGUAAGUGUACAUCUUUAUGAACUAACUAUAACUAGAAAAUAAGAUUUUAAAAAAUCGACCGUUAGAUGUGAUCAAUAUAGUGAAAUACGGCUACGGUAGAAAAAUCAUAAUUUUUGGAUAAUGUUUGGGUCCCGAUCGACGCGGUCAACACUAAUUACGUUUAUGUGUCCCUAUGGUGAGCCCUAUCUUCGGGAGGUAAUCUUCUCCUAAUUUUUAUAUGGGCUGCUACAUCUCAUCUAUGUGAGAGUAUGUAGGUCGAAUAAUCGACCAAAAUAAGCAACGAAGGGAUAUGUAAGAGCGUUUUCGUGUAAUAAGUGACGUAAGUUUAUAAUUGACCACGUUGAUCGAGACCCAAACCUUAUCGAAAAUAAGUGAAUUUUUUUCUAUAUACAUAUUUUAAGCAUACUUAUCACAUCAAACGGUUGAAUUUUCAUUUUAGGAAUAUUUGUUAUUGGAACCACAAUAUGCCUACUAAUGUGGUAUAACUUGUUUAGUGAGUUAUAUAUAAGUAUAUAUCUUUUGAACCAACUAUAUCUAGCAAAUAAAAUUUUUAAAAAUCGGCCGUUGGAUGUGAUCGGUAUACUGAAACACGGCUAUGGUAGAAAAUUCAUCCGUUUUUGUCAUUGUUUGAUUCUCGAUCUAGUGGAUACUACUUUGGUCAACCUAUUAGUUUAUAAACAUUCUUAAAUUUGACUGAAAAGAUUAAAGCCCAAAAAUGAGCGAAAUUUCAUAAUUUUUUUUCCCAAAGUUGAUGGUAUCAUUCUCAUAUCAUCCAAUGGUUGGAUUAUCCUAAUUCAAACGUGUUAGUGGUGUUCAUCUUAAAAAAAAAUACCAAUUAAGUUGAAAAAGAUAGUAUAAUCAGAAUCUAAUGAAUAGUGAAACGGUGUCAUUUCUUUUUUUAAAAAAAUAAAAAGAAGAAGGAGACGACUUGUAGGGUUUGACUUGAGAAACAACCCACUUGUACGUUUAGGAAAUAUAUUUGGCCGCCUCCCCUCCACAAUUGACCAAGAACAGCACUGCCGCAUGCCCGCAUUCAAUUGAUUUUGUCAACUACUCGGUAUGAGUUUCUUCCUUUCAUUCGAAAUCUAGCUUUCCGUUGUUACAUUGUAUUCUGUAUAACUGAAGUUCUGCAAAAUCUUUUGGUAGUUUAUCUCUUUUGCAGAUCUCCAAAGUCGUUGGUUUCAUGGAUGAUAAUGGCUUGCGGUUUUCAGAAUCUAAUUAUACUGAAAUCAACAAAAAUCCAACUUACCCAUUAGAAUUUCAUGACCAGAUUCCAACUUUCGGGUGAUUCACCAGAUUCCAACUUACCCAAAAUCUCAACGUUUCGUAAAUUGCAUCUACAGAUGAUGAAUUUCCGACGACGCUCGAAAAUCGCCGAACAACAUAAAUUCGAUAUGUUGCCCAAAUUCGAUUGCCCUGAAGGCUCUGCUUUGCCUUUUUUUUUUUUUCGUUUGUUUGGAGGCUUGCUCUGUGUUUGGAGGCUAGUUGGUGUUUGUUUUAAACCGAUACCCUAUUGUAACUCCUUUUUACCAUAACUUGAUCGUUGCCUUUUUUUUUUCCAAGCACAGUCUGUUAGCCACGCGCUGUUAAUACCUCCGUUGGUAAAGCAUCACUAUGUGAGCUGAAGAACCUCCGAAUGAAUAAAUGGAACACGCUCUUCAUCAUUGUCUGUGCAUUUGCGGUCUUCGUUGAUCCUUUGUUCUGUUAUAUCUAUGUCGUUAGCGAGGACGAUAUGUGCCUCUCUUACGACCGGAAGUUGUUCUACACAUAUUUUGGUUUACGAACAGCCUGUGAUGUCUUUUAUGUAAUCGACAUUAUCAUUUUCCUCUGUGGAAUUUGCAAGAAACGUAAAGGUAAAAUAUUUGGUGCAUGCUGGAAGCCAAGCAGUGAGAAAAAAAGGGCACUUACCUUGAAAGAAAUAUUCAGAAAACGGUGCUUGCUUCCGUUAUCCAUUCUACCUCGCAUUUUAGUUUCCCUUCCCAUUCCAGCGGUAAGAGAACCCCUAGCCUUUUCAAUAUACUAAGCAAACUUUACCCAUAAAUGGAUAUGACCUGGGGUUUGCCAAAUAAAUAUGCUUAUUGUUCUCUGUCAUUGGAUUCAAUUGUUACACAAUAAUUAGUUUUAACUUUUGGCUUAACUGAUUGCAGGUGCUCGUGGGCAUGUUCUUUCUUUUUUUUUUAUCAAGUUUCAAAUUUUCAUCGAUCCAUAUUAUGCUACUAUUAUUAUCACCCCUUUUCAAUAUACACUACGGAUCUUUCUCAUCUAUGGAUCUCAAAGGUGACGUCCUAUCAAAAAGAGUACAAGAGGAAGAUGGCUUAAACCUUCAUUGGAUUUUCUUCCCUUCAUCCUUGCCUCUCAAGUAAUAAAUCAAUGGAAUAAGUGUAAAUAAUUAUAUUUUUCAAUGUAUAUAUAGUCUAGCUCAUUACGAAAUCUCCCUACUCUCAUUCUCAAAAAGAAUUUUCUUACUCAACGGACAACUUAAUGAUUUGUCUUUCAGUUAUUUAGAGCCAUGUGGUAUCGUCUUACUGUACAACGACAGAUAGAUUGUUGGAAGCCACACUGUAAAGAAAUUAGAGGUUCAGAGUGUGAUUUACCUAUUGGUGAUUUCAUAUGGUCAAUGCCGAUUGAGGUCAACACCAUGCGUGUGCAAGAACUAUGCCCUACAAAAGUUACAAAUCCAAAAAUCUUCGACUUUGGUAUAUAUUCUUAUGUUGUUCAGUCCAAUGUGACAGGUUCAUCCCAUAUUUUGCGAAAGAUGUCGCUAUCUUUCUGGUGGGCUCUAAGGAAUUUAAGGUUAGUUCAUCUAGAGAUAUAUAAGUCUAUUUUUGAUGGUAUAUAAAUUAUAGAAAAUGUUAUUAUCGAUCACAAUAAUUUUGUAAUGAGCGAUAGAAUCUAAUUAUUAACGAACCGUUUGUUUCUUUUCUUUUCAGUUCUUUUGGUUCAAACCUCAACACGAGCAUGGAUACGCUAGAAAACUUCUUUUCAAUUGUAAUAUCUAUAUGUGGCAUGGCACUUUUUUUAGUAUAUCUCAAUGCAAGAGUGCAGGUUGGUGCUGGAAUCAGACUUCGAUCAUAUGACAUCACAUAAUUAAGGGGAACACAUCAUUUAGAUUUAGUACUUACUGAUCAUCAAACUAACUAGCACCUAUUCUUAAGAAGCAAACUGAUCAUGAGCAUUUUUUACCCAAAAAAAAAAAACUAGACCAGGAGCAUGCAUGCAUAUAUACUUCAACAAGAUAUAUUUCUUCCAAGAAUUAGUAAUAUCCUUUAGAGUAUUAUGAACUCAUCUAUUGUUGUUAUUUGAUAUAUCUGGAAUGAUCAUAUAUGUAGGAGUCACAAUCAAGGUCAAAUCAGCAUAAACUGAAAGAAAAGAAGCAAUUGAUGAAACCGGAUAUAGAUUUGUGGUUAUCUAAAAAUGAUCUCUCCCACGUGACCAAGGACUCUAAGGAUCUGAAGACAACGACGAAGAAAAAGACUAUAAAGACAACGAUGAAGAAAAAGACUUUGAAGACGGUGAUCAUUGAAAACAUAGACAAACUUGAAGAAAACAAACAAAUUGAUUUGCAAAAUAUCAUCAAUGUUCUUCCCAUAAAAUUCAAAAAAAAAACAUCACCCGUCUCCUCUGUUUGGCUUCACUAACAAAGGUGAGUAUAUUUUUUGUUUUCUCUCUCAAGGGAAACUUUGAGAACAUGUAUGUAACUGAUUUUCAUCCUUAGGUGCCAACGCUUGCAAAUUUGAAUGCCAAAAUGUUGAAAAUGAUUUGUGAGCAUCUGAAGCCAGUCAUUUACACCGAAGAUAACUACAUUGUUCAAGAUGGGAAACCACUUGGUAUGAUGUUUUUCAUCACGCAAGGACUCACAUGGAGCUACACAACCGAACACAUCAAUGGUGGAAGAACAAGCUUUGAUUCUUCAAGCAAUGAGUGGUUAAAGAAAGGUGAUUUUUACGGAGAAGUGCUGUUGAAUUGGGCAUUCAAGUCUCCCUCCUUCUCUGCUUUACCAAUCUCCACUAGAACUGUUAUGUCUCAAGAAAAAGUCGAAGCAUUCACUUUAAGGGCUAGCGACUUGAAGAGUAUAGUCUACAAAUUCUGGUGGCAUUUUACCAAAGAGCUCGAGCAAGUGGAGCUAGAACAGUGGGAGAACGCAGCAGCUUCUUCAAUACAAGGAGCUUGGCGCAACCGUUUGGCAAAGGCUAGGCAUUCAAAUUUCUGGGACAAAUUUACCGCCCAUUAUUACUGUAUAUUAUGUAAAUACUCUACUGAAACAAAGAUUUUCAUUUUGUAGUUAUUUUUAUUUUUAGGUGUUACAAGGUUUUUAUUUUAUUUUAUUGAGUUGUUGUAACGUUAUAUCUCAAAAGCACACUCUUUCUUCUCCUCCAUCUUCGUUUUGAUGAGUGAGCUCUCAUGGCGACGAACAGGAGACUUCUCCUCCAUCUUCAUUAGUUCAUCUUUGUUGAACUCCGGCGAACCCCGGUCAGAUAUCUUCAUCUCCCCUUUCCUCUUCAACUUUUCUGAAAAUAAAUCUAAGCCGUAUCAAACCAUGAAUCCAUCCAGUGCGCGCUAAUGAUAUAUCCUCUGAAUUUGGGAACUGUGAUAUGGCUGAAGCUCCGAUUAAUUCGUUAUCCCUUGCACGCCAAAAGUCUGAGGCUUUUGAAGGUCAGACUUAUGUAUCUAAACCCAUACCCUCACUAGUAAACACGGCUCCUCUGGGAUUUAAUCACUUUUCCGAUUUCAGUUUCUGGGCCAUUCAAUAUUAAUUUGUAUUUGAAUUUGAUUUGGGCUAGGAGUAACUAAGAGAAAUUUAACCCACCCACUAAAUUCAGGAUGUAUAUUACUGCCGACGAGAAUCUGAUACCAUAUAGGUUUAAUUUGACAUCUGGGUGGACUGCAUAAUUAUAUCUCAUCUUCUUGUUCAUGAUUUGGUUGAUAAGCAGCAAAAGUAAAAGUGAAUCUAUGUUUCAGAUUACAAAGAAUCUUUAUGAUCAACAUACAGUCAUACACCAUAUGAUUGAUUAUCUGUGCAUAUUGUAGAACCCAUUAUAGAUCUGAUCAAAGCCUCCCAAUUUAUAUUCAUCCAUUUCAUCAUUUUGUAGAUUUGAACAUCUGUACAAAAUAACAUCAAUACAAAUUCAAAUCCGAGCUGCAAACUGGUGGGUGGCGUUGAUCAAUCAAUUUAGCUUUUAGGAAAACUUAUUUGCCAUUGAAGAAGCUAAUUUGAUUAAUUUUAGUUCAUAGAGACGAAAAGAAACUAAUAUGAAACGGAAGAAAAAGACAGGAGAAUAAAGCAGACAAUCAAUUGAAGAAGACGAUGAUCAAGAAGAACCACGGCGCAGCUGCUGUGGUUGUUGGUGGUGAGAGCGGAUUGCUCUGGUACUCCUUCAGAUAAUAGAAAUUAGAAAAGGUGUUUUGGAGAGGAAGAGGCAGGAAGAGGCAAGAAGAGGUGAAGAGAUGGUGUUUCCUCGGUACUCUUUCGUCCUUAAACGGCGUUUUGUCAUUAAUUAACUCAUUUAAUGAGUUUUAGUGGGUUGUUGCUGAGGUGUUAUGUUCCUGACCUUUAGAUAUUGAAUGAAUGGACGUGAUUUGAAGUCAAGGAUAAACAAGUACAAGAGGCAGCCAAGGAGAGGAUCCUUAUCCUAUUUUCAUACGUUUGUAUCCAUGGAGUCAUCUCAGAUAUAGAGAUCCAGUAAUAAGGAUAAUUGCUUGUUUAUACCAUUUUAAUCCUUUUUUUAACAUUUGAGUUGGAUCAGAAGGAUAAUUGCUUGUUUAUACCAUUUUAAUCCUUUUUUUAACAUUUGAGUUGGAUCAGAUGACUAGUUAUUUCAAAUUCAUAUCAAAUAUACGCAUCUACUCAUUGUCUACAGUUUAUAACAUUUGAGUUGGAUCAGAUGACUAGUUAUUUCAAAUUCAUCAAAUAUAUGCAUCUACUCAUUUGAAAUGACUCAUAGUGAGAGGACCUCGGCCCGCUUUUAAAAAAGUGUAUUGUUGAUAUGAAUUUGAAAUAAGAGGAAAAUGCAGCGUCGGUACCCCAAUUUUGAUGGCAUGGUCAAAGUGGUACCUAUACUUUAAAAACUAUCAAUGUGGUACCCAAACCUCUAUUUCGCUACCAAGGAAAGGCUUGAGGCCAAUUUCCGUAACUGUGCCGUUAGUUUGUUGACAUGGCCGACAUAUGGCCCACCAAAAAAAGGUGCAAUGACAAAAAUAACUUUCUAACUCUCACCAAAACCGUUUUCCUUCUAUAAGCUUUAAAUUUGAAUUUUCCUGGGUAUCACAUUGAUCAGUUCAGAAAAGUUUAGGCACUGCUGCUGUGUUUAUCUGCUGACAAGAAAUAUUAUGCAAUAGCUGGAAAUGUAACAUAGAAAUUCAAACAUAGAACUAAAAAGGGCUGUCAAUAUCACUGAAUUAAAACUAACAUCAACAUGAGAAACAUACUAUACAUCAUAAUUCAAGCUUAAUUGGUUUCCAAAAACUCAAAGAACCACAUUGUUUGCAAAAAAUUGAUUCCAAACCAUGAUGAAGUACACAUUAUGUUUCUCUAAUUUAAAAGCCAACACAUUCACUAUGUAGAACCCCUUGCUGUAUGAUUUUGGCUGCUUUGAGUAGGAGGCUGUGUUGAAGCUGAUGCACUACCAUUUCCAGCAGAACUACCCUCCAUUGCCAACUUCUNNNNNNNNNNNNNNNNNNNNAAUCACCAUCAGAUACAUACCUUUGCUAAGAUGUCUAGACUCAACUAUACAAAAGAUUACUCCUAAAAUCACUAAAUAUCCAUAAGUCCACCCAUUCCUUUACCCAUGAUGCAUAGCAUGCUAUAUGCAGACAUGCAUACUAAUAUGAAUCAACACAAAUCUUGUACAUGGAAUCCAAAUAUCAUCAAUGAAAUCAAGACAAACAGUGUUAACUAAAAUGACAUAACAACUAAGCACACAAAAUCAGUAUCCAAUCAUAAAAAGUUCUCCCCAAGAUACCUUUGUCAAUUCUCACAGUAAGUUCCUGACCAAGACAACAAGUACUUUUUAGUAAUGCAACUCAUUAGUUCCAGUACUCUAAAUAUAAAGUAUUUAACUGAUAAAACACCCAAACAAACAUGACAAGUCAGUUGAUCCGAAAACAAGUUUACUGAACACAAAGAACUACUGCAGUUUUCUGACCCAGUCAUCUUCACCACAAAAACUGUACAAAUCCAUAAGGAAUUUGACUUCAUGGCCUUCUAAAGAAAUAAACUAGACAUCUUAGAGAAGCUUUCAGAAUUUGAAUCACCUCAAAAACAAAUUUCUGUAAUUAGAUAUGCAAUUUCAAAGUUCAGUAACAGUUUCAGGUUUUUCUGGAAAUUUUGCUAAAAGUGUCUAAACUUUGUUUUCAAAAACAAAACAGAAGAUCUAUGUGAUACAAAACUUCUAGGAACUGAACAUAAACACUCCAAUGUUUCAAAAAGAAGGAAAAAGAUACAAAACUUGCAACUUACAGACUAACUAAGAUCACCACAAAGAUAGCUAACAAAAUGUAAUAUACAACAGUCUUAACUUCUAUAAUUUCAGCAAAUUUAAAUCUAAAAUCAUGGUUUCUACUUUCAAUAGUAGAAACUAAUAACAUGUAUAAGAACCUCAUAAUCUAAUCAUUACAUAUGUACAAUCUCAUAUCAAAACAACAAAGAUUCAAAAACAAAGAGUACAAUUAAAAACAGAAAUCUGAAAUCACAAAACAACUUCCUAACUUUCUGACCAGUAAACUUUAUGGCUAAAACGACACAGCUUGACUGGGAAUUUACAGUUGGUGUCUUCAUAACAACUGUAAAAGACAACCUAAAGAUCAAUCAGGAACUGGAAUCGCAACAAAAGGAAUUUUUUACAAAUACUUAUGAUUUUCGGAAGUUGUAGACCUGCAUCAGGAAAAUUACUGAUUUUGGCUGAAAUCAGUUUUUGUUUUACAAACUGACUAAGAACCUAACCAAAUAGCUGAAAUUCACAAAAUUGAUCAUCUAUUUCAGCACUACGCGGACAAUUACACAACUCGUAGUUAUCAAAUCAUGUCCAAAUUGAAGCAAACAAAGUUAGGGUAUUGAAAAUUGGUAUUACCUUCAGAUCCGAAAGAAGAUUUGAAGCUAUAUCGAAAUCAUUAUAGAUCAACGCCGCUUUGAAUCGCCCGAAGUUCUGAGUCAGCUAGUUCAGCUUCGCCUCCAUUCUCGUCUAAUUUGCUUCCCUCUCUGGUUUUCCCUUUCGCUUUUCUCACUCUGCAAAUCACUCCUGGGUCUUUCAAUUUGGAGACGAACAAGAGGACAGAGUUUGUGGCCAACUAGAGAGAAGAGAAGAGGAAGAUUGGGGGGUCUCUUUGGGUACGAAUAUCGAGAAGAUGGUGGACUGCGGAAUUUCGAUAGAUCGAUCGAGGUUUAAGUUUGAGAGAGAAUGAAGAAGAUGUAGGUGUUUGGGAUCUAGGUUUUCAAGAGAAAAAGUGAUGAACAUGCAGGUGCGAUUUAGAUUAGGUUUCAGAGAAGAGAAGAGAAAAGGGAGUUUGGGAGGAGAUGGGGGAGGGAAAUCGAGUUUUGACUUGAUUUGGGUGUAGACUGUGUAAAAUGUCGUUUUUGCCCUUUUUUUGGUGGACCCGAUGCUGGCCACGUUAACAAACAGACGGCACCGUGACAAAAAUUGGCCUUAGGCCUUUCCUUGGUAGCAAAAACAAAGUUUAGAUACCACAUUGAUAGUUUUUAAAGUCUGGGUACCACUAUGACCGUGCCACAAAAGUUGGGGUACCGGUGCUGUCAAAACUUCUUGAAAUAAUUGAGUCAUUUCAUAUACCUUCUGUCUUGUAGUUUGCUGUAUUCUGUUUCUUGAGCAAAACUUGCCAUGCUGUUAACCGAAAUCUGCAGAUUUGCCUUGUGCCCUUGUCAAUAGUAAUAUUCUGAAUACAACUGUUCUUCAGGGCUGGUGGUUGGAAAUCGAACUUAAGCCUCAUUGAAAUUGUUAGGCCCCGCUCACCUGCGGCAGAGUAUUUACGGUACAGAAAGGGACAAAUCAACGAUGACCUUCAGAUUUAAAUAAAACUCAUCUGAGGGCUUAAACAAAUUCUAUCCCGAUUCGUGAGUUCAUACUUGAUCAUUCCUUGCUCUCCUUUUAGUCUUCUCUCUCUCCUCGCCGACCACACCAUGAGUCUACGUACGAUCAAAAGCUGAGAGAUAUGACGGCGGUUUAGGUCGAGGAGGAGGAUGGGCAGUUCGUGACGGUGAAUGCGAGGUGACGUCAGAAGAUGCGCGGGCGCCCUGGGCCUCCGAAGCGGCGGCGCUUGGGAUCUCUGUACCGGUUAGAAACCUUGGCAUCAGCAGCUCCAAUGUCUACCUCAUUCUGCCUAACCAACCACCCAGAACCUCUAUCUGCAAUAAAUUCCUAAAAUAAAAAUAAUAAUAAUAAAAUAAAAAUAAUAAAAACCAAACUUUCGAAUCAAACACUCAACACAACACCCACAACCAAAUCGAACCAAUCAACCCUCACUAUCUAUCAAUUCAGCUCAGAAAUCAAGAAUUGAUCCAAUCAAACAGACCCAGGAAAAAAAGCUGAGAUUAAUUAGAUCAAAACAUCAAUACCCAAGAAAGGUAAUCUAUAAGGGAUCCAAAUUUACUUGGAAGGGAGGAGGAGCAACCCAUUUGCGAGAUCAGAGUUUAGAGUUUUCGGGUCAUAAUCGUUCAAAUUGAAGAAACCCCAAAGAAUUUGACUCGUUGCUCUCCGUCAUAGCUAUGGUAGUGGUGGUGUUGCUGUGCACCUUGGCUGGGUUUUUUGACCGGUACGGAGAGAGAGAGAGAGAGAGAGAGAGAGAGAGAGAGAGAGAGAGAGAGNNNNNNNNNNNNNNNNNNNNNNNNNNNNNNNNNNNNNNNNNNNNNNNNNNNNNNNNNNNNNNNGAGAGGACUGAAAGGAGAGUAAGGAUGAUCAUGUGUGAACUCACGAAUUGGGGUAGAAUUUGUUUCGGCUCUCAUAUCAGUUUCAUUUAAAUCUAAAGAUCAUUGUUAAUCUGUUCCUUUCUGUCCUGUAAAUACUCUCCCGCAGGUGAGCGGGCCUGUUAAAUUGUUUAAAGGAAAGAAAAAACAUUUGCAUGAACUAGAAUAUUUUCCAGCUGAAAUGAAAUAUUACAAUUUUGAUAAACCUCAUGGUAAUAUAUUCAGAACAAGAUAAAUAGUAUAAUGCCAAUGACAUUGUUAAAGCUACAACCAGAUCCAUGAAUUAUUACAGAAAAGAAUACCACUAGUAGCUCACAAAGACACAGUUCAAAUUCACAGGAUCACAAUGUUGUCACAUAAUAUAUCCUAUCCUAAUCUUUGACACUAAUCUACCGAUCCUAGAAACCUAGACCAUAGCAGUAGGGCUGGUCUUCACUCAAUCGGUUGGAGAUACACCUGGUGAGCAACAUUGAUCAUUAUUUCAAGUUUUCAACUACUAUAAAGCAAGGUGGUUUGGUGUCAAAGGCUUCACCAAGUUUAGUUUACCUGUUAUACACUGGCACAUAUGGUGCAAGAAAUUAACUAUAACAUUCUAUAGCACAAAUAUAAUGUUCUUUGCAGUUUACAUAGUACUAAUUCACAAGUGUGGAAUAAUAUCGGUAUGGACAGAAGCUAUUUCAGCUUCUUCUGCUAAAGUUAUUUGAGCUUUUUACUGAAGUCAGAAAGCUGAAGAAUCUGAAUCCUGGAAAUACUAGCAGCUUCUUCCCUCUCUUUUUGUGUAUUGUACCCCCAAUCCCCUAAUCGAAGGCACAAAUUAGCAACCAAAGAAAGUGAGUACCACAAAAUACAAAUCCACAAUAAAGCAAAGCAAACACAGCAAUGAUACUAAACCAUUUAGCAGUAUCUUGUAAUACUAAAGGGAGAAAGUAAAGAGGAAUUUUACCUAGAUAGAGAUUCCAACCAUUUAAUUCGGGUUCUCCGAUGACAUUCUUCAGGGUUGCCAGUCUAUCUUCCAAAAAGCUGGUAAAAGUUGCAUAAUUUUUCUCAUUCAGAUUAACUAUGAUAGAGUAAUGAGAAGGAGGAUGUCCAGCGUAGCAGUGCAGAAUUUAGUCAAAAACUUCAAUAAUGGAGAUCAUUAUAUUGGAACAUGUUCUACACUACUACUAUUAGAUAUUAAGUGGAAAAGUAUCUUACUGAAGUUUAAGCCCCUGAUGUUUCUUCUGAAGUUGCUUCAAAACUUCUACCUUUGGACUGCAAGGGGAUUAAAAAGUGAGUAUUGUUCUACAUCAUCGAAAGCAAGCCACAGGCAUAAGUGUGAAACUACCAAAUACAGACUAUCAUUAAGUUAUUAUACUAACCCAGAUCCUAGACCAAAAAUUCUUUCAGGCGGUAUUGUAACUCCUGCUAGUUCUCGCAAUAAAGCAUCAGCAAAUCGGCUCUGGAUAGAAAAGAAACAGAAAUUAACAUUGUGGGAAAAUACCAGAAGGAAAAGUCUAAUCUACAAAGAAACUGAGCUAACUGCUCAUUAUAAAAUGUGUCAACACUAUCUUUCCCUGCUUAUGUCCUCUUCAUUUAGGGGAAAGUACAAUGACUAAAUACUCUAAUGCUUGGAUAAAUUGAUUAAAUUACACACCUGUUUCGUAGUGACAACGUAUAUGGUAGAGCUUGUGAAUUUUAGAGCAUCAGGAACACCCGGAUAUAAUCUGCAAACAAAGCCUCUCCCACUCAGUCAAGAAAUACAUUGACUAUAAACCAAAACUAUGUUACCUAUAACUAAAUCAAACAAGCCUCCGAAUUUCGCUUCAGAUUGUUUGAUCAAGAAUUUCAAAUUGGGGGCACCUCACCUAUUUGCACCAAUCCAAGUUUUCAAGUCAUGGUCCAUCCACUCAUCCCUGACCUUCGCAAACAAAUCUAUAAGCCCAUCCCUGUCCUCACCCCAUUCCUCCAUAAUCACAGGCUUCAAGUCUGACCACUUCUCCAAUAUCCCCUCCACUGUGAGCCCUUCACCAACUGAUGACUUCCUUAUAGAAGGAACCCUCAUCUCCAGAAGCAACCUCACAAGUAGAAGAUUCUCGUACCCAGUUUCCACCACAGGCCUCACCUAAUUCAUCAUCAUUCGUUUCUCCACAAUUAGACAAAUCAAAUAUUACACGGGUUUUGUGUGAUUAAGCAUGUUAGGGACUUACAAUGCGCAUUUGAUCAAGAACCCAAUUCUCCAAAGUUGAAUCCACACCGUUGAACAGAGCCGGCCAUCUGACUUUAGCUGCCUACAGAUUACCAUUCAAGGAAAGUAAACAAGUUGUGAAGUGAAAAGCUUGGAGGUUUGGAAUAGUAUGAUCAAAGACAAUACCUUCAUGGCAGAGAGAGAGCUCUCUCCGCAGCUAUCACAGAUGACUCCAUCGAAAUCCAAAGCGUAUAGAUCACCCAUUUCUGCUCUGAGACUCUAGCUUCUGUUUCUGACGGAGGUCUUUGAGCCCAAAUACUAUACUCUGCUUCAAUUAGUCCCACGACGACGUUCUACGGGACGACAAAGAUAGUUUAUACCAGAAAGAUACCCGGUGCGUUGCUACGGGAUUUCUUGUCAACAAAAUUUGUAUUCUACAUAAUAGAAUAGGCAGAAAUUUAAGAAUAUGGUUACUGAAAAUAAUCCAUUCUAAGGAACCAAAAGAAGAGCCACUAUCGUAUCAUAUUAAGUUAAAAUGAUGAAUUAAUAUGUUGCUUUACUCUAUACAUGUAUAGAAAAUAAUUGGAGUUCCAGAGUGAUACUACCUAGUUGAGUUUAACUAACCUAUAUACAUCUAUACAUGAUGCAAGCCUAAACUCAAAUCCAAUGACAUAUGCUUAUUCUUUACUUCUCUAUGCCCAUCAUAAAGUAUGUAUCCACAAUGCUAGUUUACAUUUUUACUUGCACAUAUGCUAAUAGCCAGGUGAAUACAUUAUACUGGAAGUUUAGCAGCGUUGAUCACUAUACAAAGUGAAUGUAAAUCAUAUAUUACUGGAAGCCAAUACAUGUUUUGAGGAGACUAUGACAUAUCUUCAUUAAAGUCAGUGCACAACUCAAAUGAAAAGUAUAUUGUAUUGAGUAAGCUAUUCAGACCCAACAAAAAAAAAAAACAAAACAAAACACAGAGCAAUAAUCCCAUUUUACUAUAUAUUCUUAAUAUCUGUCACAGACCACACCAAAGAGUAAACCAUAUACGUGGCAAGAAACAUUACUACUCUACGACACAUGCCCUCUUGUUAUAUAUUUUAAUUUCUUGAUAUAUGUGGUAUCUAUUUUAGCAUU